CCGUUUAAAGUAGUAAUUUUAUUGUUAAUCAGCUCAAUUAGGGCAUGUAAAUUGCCCCAUCGAAUAUAAAAGAUAAAAAAGUUGGUCUCAUCUAAGAUCAAGCAAAAAGCUUGAAAGUAUAAAAGAUAAAAAAAGGAAAUAAUAGAAGGUGAAGGGCAGUUAUUGAAAUUUAUUUUGAGUAUAUAAUACAUGUAGACUUCAAACUACAACAAGUGGCGAACUCGCGGCGGGGGGAACGGAAAGAUUUGAAACUCCGAUCUCGAGAAGAAAUAAGAAGCAUAGACUUCACUUAGUUGUGGUAAUACAAAUAGUUUACAAUAUGACAAAACAAAGAACUAAGACGAAGGAUUCAAAUAAUAGCGUAUUCGCAUCUUACAGCGUAAUCAAGAAGGCGAUCAAGUUCAUCGAGAGUAACGUAACCAUCGCCGUCGGCAUCCGCGGCUUUGAGUGACUGGCGAGCUCUGAAACGGCUCCAAUUAGACCCUAAGGAUUCAAAGGCCGAUUUCAACUCCAGACGUGAAAGACGGCCAUCGCCGUCGCCGUCGUGCUUGAGGAAAAUAUCACGAAGCUGAUCUCUGGAGAAAGGAACAGGACAUCGCUUGUAGUCGCUAACGCCGUUGCUGAAGACGAAACUCAAAGCCAUGGAAUUUUCUUUUUAUUAUUAUUAUUAUUAUUAUUAUUAUUAUAAGUUUACGGGAUGAUGAUGAGGAGGAGGUUGAAGAAAUAUGUUGUUUGAGUUGAAGAAAGUGUUGAAGGGCAAAACUGCUAUUUAUUGCUCAUUUCCUUCGGCUUUGACGCUGCCUUUUCAAUAUUUGGCCCUAAAAAGUUAGGGGAGCAUUUUGGUAUUUGGAUUGGCAUUGAAUUUGAAUUUUCUUCUAUCUCUUUCGAAUAUUUGUUGGACUUGGUUUUCUCUCUCUCUUUUCAAACAGAGAAAAUAAAACUAUAAAUAUACCUAUUAGAUUCAUAAUAUUAAUAUAAAAUUAUUAAAAUUUAAUGAAAUAUAUUAAUAUAUUUGAUAAACUAUACUCCAAAUAUUAACUUAUUAUUAAUACACGAUAAGAUAAGAGUCUAAUAACAAUGAUAGAAAAUUUAGUGAUUUUGAUUUAGUUUGUCAAUAGUUUCAAUUUUUUUUGUUGGAGGUAAAUUAAGAGUUUGAUCCCAAACCCUCCCCAUAACUCCACACCAUAAUCUCAAAAUAGAUUCAAAAGCAUAAUCUCAAAAUAGAUUCAAAAGCUUUCCAUCUCUCGAUUAUCAAAGUUACGUACUCCACCAAUAUAAAGAAACUUAAAUAAGAAAAAUCGACGAUCACUAAUCUAAGAGUGAGAUUGUAUGUCAAUUGGUAAUAUUACACAAAAAACGACAUGCAUGCAUGCAUCAAGAAUUUGAAGAUACAAACUAAAAAAGUUUGUUAAAAUAUAAGAAGUGGUGCUAUCAUUGAUCUUUUGAGGUUGAUCGUUGGUAAUGACAAGAAAUUAUGAACUAUGAAUUAAUCCUAUAUAUUUCAAAGUUUAAAACAAAAUAAACACUCUAAAUUAAUAUAAGAAGAAUUUGUUAAAAGAAGAAAAACCAAAUGUAUCCAUAUACUUCACGUUUAAAACGGUAGUUAAGAUUAAUGUUAAAAAGAUUUAGUUAUAAUCAAUUAGAAAAGUAUAUAGAUUUGAAAAUUUCAAAUUGCUGACAUUUGAAUAUAAAUUAUUCUUUGGAUAUAAAUUUAGAAAAUUUUCGAAUUAAAAAUAUGUCAAAAUAGAAUUUGUGAAAUGAAAUAGAUACUCCAAAUAAUGAUGAAUUUGAUUGAUAUUAAAUUAAUUAAUCACAUUGCAAUGUCAAGAAUAAGGUUUUUUUUAUAAAAAAAUUGGGUAAAGAUAUCUAAUCAUUCAUUUAAAAGAUUCUUGAAUGUAAAUUUAAAAUAAAAUUAUAUAUAUAUAUUCUUUUGGGGUGCCAUGGGGAUGGAGGUUGGGGAAUAUAUUUCCCAUCCCCGGGCCAUCUGAACUAUGAAUUAGAAAAAUAAUUCUCACUUCGAUCAUUAUCUGUUCGAGUAUUUCUGUUUCGCGACAGAUUCUCAUGGGACCCUUACUCCACGGGUUAAAUGAACGUCUCUAAUUUCAAAAAUGUUUUAAUAUUUUCUUCUAUCAAUCAUUUGACCAUUUUAGUUUGAGAUUUACUCUAUUACGAAUUGAGUUAGGUCUAGCGAAUUUUAUGAUCUUAUAUAUCGAUCAAGUUGUAGUUGAAAAGAUAAAGUAUUGAUUCUAAUUUCUUCAAAUUUUUGUAAUCCAUUAAGCUAGCUAGAGAAAUAAUUGAUAAAAAUCAUAAAACUAAAAUAAAAUUAAAAAGUUAUCCAAUGAAUUAAAAUAGAAUCAACAAAGGUACAGAAAACGAGAAUUAAAAAUAAGAGAGGUUUGUUAGGAAGGAAAAGCUAAGCGAUGGAAUCUUCAAAAGUAAUGUAUGGCUUACAAACAAAGCUAUAUAUAUAAUUCGAUUUAUAUAUAUAUAUAUAUAUAUAUCUGUGUGGGCAAUUUUAAUUCUGAUAAAAAUUAAAAUUUAAAUAUCAUACUAUUUUUCUACCUAAACGAAUAUAAUUCGAUAAUUUUAAACAUGUGUAUGAAAUUAACAACAUGUUUUUUUAAAUAUAAUUUAAAUUUACCAAUCCAAAUAUUAUACUCUUACAAAUAUGUUAUUGAUUUUGGACAAGAAUAUCAAAUUUGUAAAAACUAUUUUAUCAAACAAACUGCUGUAGGAAUAAUUUUCUAGUAAGGUGAUUACAACCUGGGGUAAUAAUUAACGAAAUGUAUAACUUGUAAAUAGCAAAUUCUAUCGUUGAUGAUAGACUUGUCUUUGGUCAAUUAAUGAUAAAUCAUUAAUGAUAUAGUCUAUAACGAAUAGACCAUGAGAGUACUAUAUCGUUGCUAUAUAUUUGCUUUUGUCAAUUUUAAGUAUGUGAAAAUGUAAAAAGUUAAAAACAAUUUUGAUCUGUGAAAUUUCAAAAUAAUUUGAGUUUGGUAUUUGGCUUUUUGAUUUUUUAAUUUAAAAAUUAAGUUUAUUCUCCUUUUUCAUUUCUUACUACCAUUUGCAUAUUUUUCUAGUCAAAUUUGAAAAACAAAAACAAAUUUUUAAAAACUGCAUUUUUUAGUUUAAAAUUAUGGCUUGGGCUUUUAAAUCGUAAAAUGUAGAAAGUUGAAAGUAUAGGCUAAAUAUUAAAAAAUAAAAAUAAAUAACCAAAUGAGAUCUAAAUUAUUGUCAUUUGUUUAAGUCGUCAUCUUUUUCAAUUUCUGUUCGCAUUCAACUUACAUCAUGAGUUGAUUUUGACAUCGAUCGUUUUCAUCUUUUUAGAAAAUUCUCAUCUUUCACAUAAAAGGUAUGGUGCAAAACAUUCAAACAAGCUAAUGGACGCUACAAAGAAAGAGAAUAUAUAUCGAUAGUGCGUAAUUAAAAAGAGUUGUUAGACAUGAGAAUAUAUAGUAGUUAAGACAUCCAACUUUAGCUAUAAUAUUUGAACUUAAAGAGAUAGGCUAAUUAACAUUAACCAACAUGAACUCAGCUCAACUAAACGAGUGGACCAAAGGUCAGACUAUAUCAACAAAAAUUUAGUACGUUUUAAUAGUAAUAAUAAUUAACCAUAAAAGAUCGAUUUUUGUUACUCUAAAAACGUUUUGAAUAUCAUAUGUUGAAGACAAACAUACAUGCAAAUUCUUCAUUCCUUAUUUUCCAAAGAUAUAAAGAAUAUGUUAGUUAAGUGGUAAAAGUGAGAAUUUUGAAAUGAAUUAUGCUUUCUUUUUUUUGUUUGGUAUAUAGUCACCAACAAGAGAAUUUUAGGUAGUGAUAUAUUAUCACACACUGUAGUAAUAAUGGCCAUAUAUAUAUAUAUAUAUAUAUAUAUAAUUCUAGCUGCCCCACUCCCAAGUAAAAAAAAAAACUCUUUUCAAAAAAAUUGUUAGAUGCUGAUCCAUUUUUUCUUACCAUUUUCAUAUAUAGCAAAAUAAAUAUAUACAUCAUAAACUUGACAGAUUGUAUCAAUCAAAUUUUAAAUGUAUAAUAUUUGUUAAGAAUUUGAACAUAUAACUGUUUCAAAUUACAUAUUGAUCCAUCUUCAAGCAAAUGAUGAUGGCUAUAAAAUGACUAUAAAAUAAAAAUGACUAUCGUCUACCUCAAUCAAAACCUUGAACGUCGUUAUUGUGAUCUUUCUCUCUAUGGAAUACAUGAAAGUAGGCUCGAAGUCUUUUUAUAUACUAGUUUAAUUAUGAUCCUUACACCAUUUUACCCCUUCAAUCCAUACUCAAUUAGGAAUUUUUGGUCUUAAUUAAAUAGAUCAUGUAAUAGACCCAAUUUAAUAAAAUAAUCCAAUGUGAUAAAUUAUUAAUUUACAUACAUAACUCAUGUAUCUCAUCCUAUUGUUUAAUCAUGUAUUGUUAUCUAAUAAACUCUCUUUACUGUUUUCUUUUAUUUUGUAGGAUGAGGAUUGAACCUUGGAGAUACCGAUUCCAGUAAAGUAAGAUAAAAAGUAGAAUUGGAUUCCAAUUUUUCCAAUUUUCGGGUUGAAAAAAGUUGGCAUAGUAGUUGUAAGAAAAUUGCUUAUCAUCUAUAUCAUUGCUUGCCAUGGUGCUAUCAAUUUUUGAAAGUGUGAUGAACACAAAAUGAGUAAUUAGCUAAACAUAACAACACAUACGAACUGAAGAUAUAUACAAUUAAAAUACAACUGAUUGAGAUAUAUAUUGUCAAUAAAUUAAAGGCAACAGAGGUUCGAAAGUAAAAUAAAAGAAAAAUACACAUAAGAAGCAGCCGCCAUUUAUUGGACAAGUUUAUAGAAACCGACGAUAUGAUCAACAAGCCGUCGUGGGAGGCGGCGGGGCAGUAAAUAAAAAUCAGACAACAUAACCUUUGCUCAUCAUGUACUUUACGAACUGAUCGAUCUCUUCCUCGCCAAGCUUUCCAUCUCUGUUUCGAUCUGCGUGACACAGAGCACUGUAAGCGAGAUGAACUGGCAUUUCAGCGUCCAGUUUCUUCAAUGCGUUCUUGAUCUCGAACAAUCCUAAUCCUCCGUCUUCAUUCGUAUCCAUUUGGUUAAAGAUCUGUCUCAGUUCUUUGGCAGAGUAGGCGCUUUCCGACGAGACGGGCGGUGAAUUCGAUUUCGUUUUUGGACGGAACAUCGACGACAUGGUUCUGUAGUUGAUUGUGGUUUGGGAAAUUGGGGAGUUGGAUUUGAUUUGAUUUGUU
rnacentral:lncRNA from 1 species